ACAACAUAAGGAUCGUCGGUCUACCGAGCAAUAUCAUUUGGUGGAAGGUCUUCCCUCCGUCGU
rnacentral:pre_miRNA from 1 species